rnacentral:misc_RNA from 1 species
GAUGAAGAACGUAGCGAAAUGCGAUAAGUAGUGUGAAUUGAAGAAUUCAGUGAAUCAUCGAAUCUUUGAACGCACAUUGCGCCCCAUGGUAUUCCGUGGGGCAUGCCUGUUCGAGCGUCAUUUACCCCCUCAAGCUCCGCUUGGUGUUGGGCGUCUGUCCCGCUUCGCGCGCGGACUCGCCCCAAAGGUAUUGGCAGCGGUCGUGCCAGCUUCUCGCGCAGCACAUUGCGCUUCUCGAGGCACCGGUGGGCCCGCGUCCAUCAAGCUCACCCCCCCAGUUUGACCUCGGAUCAGGUAGGGAUACCCGCUGAACUUAAGCAUAUCAAUAAGCGGAGGA